rnacentral:rRNA from 1 species
AGCAGCCGCGGUAAUUCCAGCUCCAAUAGCGUAUAUUAAAGUUGUUGCAGUUAAAAAGCUCGUAGUUGAAUUUCGGGGUUAGUAGGUUGGUCGUGCCACUGGUAUGCACUGGCCUCACUGAUUCCUCCUUCUUGAAGAACUGUAAUGCCAUUAAUUUGGUGUUGCAGGGAAACAGGACUGUUACUUUGAAAAAUUAGAGUGUUUAAAGCAGGCUAACGCUUGAAUACAUUAGCAUGGAAUAAUGAAAUAGGACGUUUGAUCCUAUUUUGUUGGUUUCUAGGAUUGACGUAAUGAUUAAUAGGGAUAGUUGGGGGCAUUAGUAUUCAAUUGUCAGAGGUGAAAUUCUUGGAUUUAUUGAAGACUAACUACUGCGAAAGCAUUUGCCAAGGAUGUUUUCAUUAAUCAAGAACGAAAGUUAGGGGAUCGAAGACGAUCAGAUACCGUCGUAGU